GUAGCGUAUAUUAAAGUUGUUGCCGUUAAAAAGCUCGUAGUCGAACUUCGGCCUUUGCCGCCCGGUCCGCCUAUUUGGGUGUGUACUGGAGCGGUGGAGGCUUACCUCGUGGUGAGCGGCCAUGCCCUUUACUGGGUGUGGUCGGGAACCAUGACUUUUACUUUGAAAAAAUUAGAGUGUUCAAAGCAGGCUCACGCCCGAAUACAUUAGCAUGGAAUAAUAAAAUAGGACGUGCGGUCCUAUUUUGUUGGUUUCUAGGAUCGCCGUAAUGAUUAAUAGGGAUAGUUGGGGGCAUUCGUAUUCAAUUGUCAGAGGUGAAAUUCUUGGAUUUAUUGAAGACGAACUACUG
rnacentral:rRNA from 1 species